UACGUAGGGGGGCAAGCGUUGUCCGGAUUUAUUGGGCGUAAAGAGCGUGUAGGCGGCCAUGUAGGUCCGUUGUGAAAACUCGAGGCUCAACCUCGAGACGCCGAUGGAAACCAUGUGGCUAGAGUCCGGAAGAGGAGAGUGGAAUUCCUGGUGUAGCGGUGAAAUGCGCAGAUAUCAGGAAGAACACCCGUGGCUAAGGCGGCUCUCUAGUACGGUACUGACGCUGAGACGCGAAAAGCGUGGGGAGCAAACAGG
rnacentral:rRNA from 1 species